CUGGGCCACACUGACUUUAUCUUGUAAUGUGGGCAGUAAUAACUACUUCCUAAGAUCUUUAUGAAGAUUCUCUUAAAAGUAGUGUCUAUAAAACUCCUGGUGUAGUGUCUGGCAAGCAGAGGUAUACUAAUUCAAGUCCUGAUUGAGUUAUUAGGGCACAUUAUCUUACCAAAAUAGUAAGUGUUAGAAUCUUACAAGAACUCAGAAUCAAGGUUAAAAAGGAACAAGAAACACCAACCGUUCAGGACAAAGACUCUCGAUAUUAUUUAACUUGAAGGUGACAUUGUAACGAGAACUUCUCAGCUGGAGUUAAUUGAUUUGAACAAUUCAAGUCCACCAGGCAAAUCAGCCCAGGACAGCUUACCACGCUGGCCGAGUUAAUUUUUUUUUCACAUAGUUUUUGAACGGCUGCGAUGUUAAGAGGAGACCAAAGGCUGUGAGAUGGAGAAAAUAGAAUUCACUGAAUGUCAAGGGACUUGCCCAGGGACACACAGUGUGUAAGUGAAAGAUUGGGAUGUGAAUCCGUGUCCUGAUUUCAGGCUAAGAGCUCUC
rnacentral:lncRNA from 10 species